rfam:Tetranychus urticae London genomic scaffold, scaffold_18
GGCUUUGUGGCUUAGUUGGUUAAAGCGCCUGUCUAGUAAACAGGAGAUCCUGGGUUCGAAUCCCAGCAAAGCCU